AAGAAGUCUCCGUUCUCUCUCAGCCUGCCCAGCUCUCAUCUAUACAGACCGGAGCAUAAUAAAAAAAACAAAGCGGCUCUGCAAUUGGCCUGACCCACUCGCCUCUCCAGCAGCAUGGCUUGCUUGCCCUCCAAACGUGCUGGUCCAGCUGGUCAGAAGCUGGACAUACACAGCCCAAGUGGAUGGCCGGGAUGUUAGUGGAGUCCCAGAUGAAAUGGAAGAAAGCCUUCCUCUCGAGGCUGGAAACCAUGUUCCUCCUCCUCUUUACUACUCUUAGAGAUGUCAAAAAAGCCUCCUCUUCUCAAGGCUUGGGAUGGCUAAGGACAGACCCAACUGGACCUUUCAAAUUCCACUCCCCAAAGAGUUCAGAAGUCAGGAAGUAAAGACUUGGCAGCAGAAGAAAGAUCAGCCUUGAUUUUCACGGUUGCCCAGGGGGUAGCUCAAUGGAAGUGCCGGCAGAAAGGGAACUGGGCGGGUCAGUCUUGGAGGAGGCACCCAUCGAGUCUGCAAUAUGGCCUCACCUGUUUGGCCCUUAGUUUGCUCAAGUACAUACAAGGCCUCUGGACUAAUCCAGUGAAUGAAUCCCUGCAAACCUUCAGUGAAAUACGGCGUGCACAACACAGG
rnacentral:lncRNA from 1 species